AUACGUAGGGGGCAAGCGUUAUCCGGAAUCACUGGGUGUAAAGGGUGCGUAGGCGGCAAUAUAAGUCAGAUGUGAAAGUCCGGGGCUCAACUCCGGGGGUGCAUUUGAAACUGUAUGGCUAGAGUACAGGAGAGGAAAGCGGAAUUCCUAGUGUAGCGGUGAAAUGCGUAGAUAUUAGGAGGAACACCAGUGGCGAAGGCGGCUCUCUGGACUGUAACUGACGCUGAGGCACGAAAGCGUGGGUAGCGAACAGGAUUAGAUACCCUGGUAGUCCACGCCAUAAACGAUGAGUGCUAGGUGUCGGGGGUCAAACCUCGGUGCCGCAGUCAACACAUUAAGCACUCCACCUGGGGAGUACGUUCGCAAGAAUGAA
rnacentral:rRNA from 1 species